AACGAACGCUGGCGGCAUGCCUAACACAUGCAAGUCGAACGAUGCCUUCGGGCAUAGUGGCGCACGGGUGCGUAACGCGUGGGAAUCUGCCCUUGGCUUCGGAAUAACAGUUAGAAAUGACUGCUAAUACCGGAUGAUGUCCCCCUGAGAGAUCUUGGGGACCAAAGAUUUAUCGGCCAGGGAUGAGCCCGCGUAGGAUUAGGUAGUUGGUGGGGUAAAGGCCUACCAAGCCGACGAUCCUCAGCUGGUCUGAGAGGAUGAUCAGCCACACUGGGACUGAGACACGGCCCAGACUCCUACGGGAGGCAGCAGUGGGGAAUAUUGGACAAUGGGGGGAACCCUGAUCCAGCAAUGCCGCGUGAGUGAUGAAGGCCUUAGGGUUGUAAAGCUCUUUUACCAGGGAUGAUAAUGACAGUACCUGGAGAAUAAGCUCCGGCUAACUCCGUG
rnacentral:rRNA from 1 species